rnacentral:rRNA from 1 species
UACGGAGGAUGCAAGCGUUAUCCGGAAUUAUUGGGCGUAAAGGGUCCGCAGGUGGCAAUGUGUGUCUGCUGUCAAAGAAUGAGGCUUAACCUCAUCAAGGCAGUGGAAACUACAUAGCUAGAGUACGGUCGGGGUAGAAGGAAUUCCUGGUGUAGCGGUGAAAUGCGUAGAGAUCAGGAAGAACACCGGUGGCGAAAGCGUUCUGCUAGACCUGUACUGACACUGAGGGACGAAAGCUAGGGGAGCGAAUGGG